UAUUCACCGUGAUUUACUCCCUCUCAUACUCGUGGGGCAGGGGUGAGGGGGCCGCUGGGCGGCGGGACCCGCCUUUUGCAACAUAUUUGGACCAAAAUGGUACCAUUGGAAGGUCGGAUAAGCGUUGAGUUGAUCUGCACUUCUGCUUCUGUACAUAUUACUAUGAAGUGAAGCACACUGGUUUUGAGACUUAAUUCAACCAUCCAUAUCUAUCCAACUCAUCCAGAUGCUAAUUGGCCAUGUUCAUAGUGGACAUUGGAAAUACUUUAUGCAUGGAUAUGCACAUUAGAACAAGUUCUUAUACUGCCACGUCUACUCCAAGUCAUGAUGGCAGGGACAAGUUUCCUCUCACGUUUCUAUUAGUUGAAGUCUGUAUGUAGGUUCAAAAGCAAGAUUCAAUCUGUGACAAGCUAAUGAUGGUAAUCUGCGUUCCUGCAAGUUGAGCAGCAGCAAAGGACAUUUGGAUGAUGGAGGAAUAUCCGGCAAUACACCCUACCUUUCGGGGGAAUGGGAUCUUGUGCUAGAUUUUGACAGAGACGGAAGAAAGGUAAAGUCCUUUCGAUGUUCUCAAGAGGCCAUUUUCAAUGUGCUCAAGUGUCCUUGUAAUGUAUUUCCAUGGUAGGAGCUGAUUCUCAUUUUGAUGUGGAGGUAAUGGAAUUCUUAUCGCUACAAUUUGAGCAGCAACACUAGGCACUUGGAUGAUGGAGGAAUGAAAUCUGGUAGAAGAUUUUGACAUACAUGGAGGAAAGGUAAGGUCAAUAGAUUUGGAUUCCUUAUCUUCCAUUCAAGCCAUAAUUAUGGCUAGGUUCAUUGUGUUGUUCAUUUGGCCGCCUUCUCCAUUCAAAAUUCAUAGCUGAAUGAUGCGGCAAAAUAUGCUGCUUCGUUGGAGAUUGAUGAUGAAGUACCCUCUCUACAUGAAUAAACACAUGUCAGAGGUGUCGCGGGAGUCAUCUCAACGAGGUCCCUAUGAAUGCCAUAAAAAAAUAGAAUUGUAGAAAUAUAAAUAAGAAAAAGCUAUGAUUAAGGUUAAAUAUCGGGAAUUCUCCAGCUCAUACGAUAGACUUUAAUAUUUAUAGAGGAUUGUUAUUUCAAAUCCUAACUAAUUAUUAGAUCUCAAAGAUUGUGGGUCAUGUGU